rnacentral:rRNA from 1 species
AAGAGAGAAUGCCGGAAUGAGUAGCGAGAGGAAGGUGAGAAUCCUUCCGGCCGAAUAUCUAAGGAUUCCAGGGUAAAGCUGAUCUGCCCUGGGUAAGUCGGGACCUAAGGCGAGGCCGAGAGGCGUAGUCGAUGGAGAACAGGUGGAGAGUCCUGUACUACAGAAUAGGUGAAAUGUGGGGACGCCAGGAGGAAGUGGGAGCCGGAGAAGGAAGAGCCGGUGCAAGCGCAGGACAGGACGGGGAGGAAAAACCCCCCGAAGAGAGAGGAGAGCGUGAAGCGGACCGAAAAGAAGUAGGGAAGCCCAUGGGUAACUGGCCAAGAAAAGCCGCUAAUAAGUAUUCUGUACCCGUACCGGAAACCGACACAGGUGGAAGGGGAGAGAAUCCCAAGGCCGACGAGAGAAGCGUCGUCAAGGAACUCGGCAAAAUGGCCCCGUAACUUCGGGAGAAGGGGCGCCGGAGAGAGACCGGCCGCAGAGAAAAGGCUCAAGCAACUGUUUAGCAAAAACACAGGUCUAUGCGAAACCGAAAGGUGAGGUAUAUGGGCUGACGCCUGCCCGGUGCUGGAAGGUUAAGGGGAGAGGUUAGGGAAACCGAAGCGUUGAACCGAAGCCCCAGUAAACGGCGGCCGUAACUAUAACGGUCCUAAGGUAGCGAAAUUCCUUGUCGGGUAAGUUCCGACCCGCACGAAAGGCGUAAUGAUCUGAGCGCUGUCUCGACGAUGCACCCGGUGAAAUUGAAGUGCCAGUGAAGAUGCUGGCUACCCGCGCCAGGACGGAAAGACCCCAUGGAGCUUCACUCCAGCUUGGCGCUGGGGCCCGGUGCUGCAUGUACAGGAUAGGUGGGAGGCGAAGAAGUAAGGACGCCAGUCUUUAUGGAGCCAAUGUUGGGAUACCACCCUUGCAGUACUGGGUUUCUAACCUGCGGCUGUGAAACCAGCCGGGGGACAAUGUCUGGCGGGGAGUUUGACUGGGGCGGUCGCCUCCGAAAGGGUAUCGGAGGCGCUCAAAGGUCCCCUCAGGAUGGACGGAAACCAUCCGAAGAGUGCAAAGGCAUAAGGGGGCCUGACUGCGACACCGACGGGUGGAGCAGGCGGGAAACCGGGACUUAGUGAUCCGGUGGUUUUAAGUGGGAAAGCCAUCGCUCAACGGAUAAAAGCUACCCUGGGGAUAACAGGCUGAUCACUCCCAAGAGUUCACAUCGACGGAGUGGUUUGGCACCUCGAUGUCGGCUCAUCGCAUCCUGGGGCUGUAGCAGGUCCCAAGGGUUGGGCUGUUCGCCCAUUAAAGCGGUACGCGAGCUGGGUUCAGAACGUCGUGAGACAGUUCGGUCCCUAUCCGGCGCAGGCGUAGGAUAUUUGAGAGGAGCUGUCUUUAGUACGAGAGGACCGGGAUGGACGGGCCGCUGGUGGAUCUGUUGGCUGAUCAAGGCCAUGGCAGAGUAGCCAAGCCGGGAGGGGAUAAACGCUGAAGGCAUCUAAGCGUGAAGCCCCCCUCAAGAUGAGAUAUCCCUACUGAUAAGGUAGUAAGACCCCUUGAAGACGACGAGGUAGAUAGGGCGGAGGUGGAAGUGCAGUAAUGUAUGGAGCUGACCGCAACUAAUCGGUCGAGGGCAUGACCAA